AGAGUUUGAUCCUGGCUCAGAUUGAUCGCUGGCGGCAGGCCUAACACAUGCAAGUCGAACGGUAACAGAAAGCAGCUUGCUGCUUUGCUGACGAGUGGCGGACGGGUGAGUAAUGUCUGGGAAACUGCCCGAUGGAGGGGGAUAACUACUGGAAACGGUAGCUAAUACCGCAUAACGUCGCAAGACCAAAGAGGGGGACCUUCGGGCCUCUUGCCAUCGGAUGUGCCCAGAUGGGAUUAGCUAGUAGGUGGGGUAAAGGCUCACCUAGGCGACGAUCCCUAGCUGGUCUGAGAGGAUGACCAGCCACACUGGAACUGAGACACGGUCCAGACUCCUACGGGAGGCAGCAGUGGGGAAUAUUGCACAAUGGGCGCAAGCCUGAUGCAGCCAUGCCGCGUGUAUGAAGAAGGCCUUCGGGUUGUAAAGUACUUUCAGCGGGGAGGAAGGGAGUAAAGUUAAUACCUUUGCUCAUUGACGUUACCCGCAGAAGAAGCACCGGCUAACUCCGUGCCAGCAGCCGCGGUAAUACGGAGGGUGCAAGCGUUAAUCGGAAUUACUGGGCGUAAAGCGCACGCAGGCGGUUUGUUAAGUCAGAUGUGAAAUCCCCGGGCUCAACCUGGGAACUGCAUCUGAUACUGGCAAGCUUGAGUCUCGUAGAGGGGGGUAGAAUUCCAGGUGUAGCGGUGAAAUGCGUAGAGAUCUGGAGGAAUACCGGUGGCGAAGGCCGCCCCCUGG
rnacentral:rRNA from 1 species